GACGUAGGGUGCGAGCGUUGUCCGGAUUUAUUGGGCGUAAAGAGCUCGUAGGCGGCUCGUCGCGUCGACCGUGAAAACCCGCGGCUUAACUGCGGGCUUGCGGUUGAUACGGGCGGGCUAGAGUUCGGUAGGGGAGACGUGGAAUUCCUGGUGUAGCGGUGAAAUGACGCAGAUAUCAGGAGGAACACCGGUGGCGAAGGCGGGUCUCUGGGCCGAUACUGACGCUGAGGAGCGAAAGCGUGGGGAGCGAACAGG
rnacentral:rRNA from 1 species